AGAAUCAACGCUGGCGGCGUGCCUAACACAUGCAAGUCGAACGAGAAAGUGGAGCAAUCCAUGAGUAAAGUGGCGCACGGGUGAGUAACACGUGACUAACCUACCCUUGAGUGGGGGAUAACCUAGGGAAACCUGGGCUAAUACCGCAUAAUACCUUCGGGUCAAAGGAGCAAUUCGCUUAAGGAGGGGGUCGCGGCCGAUUAGUUAGUUGGCGGGGUAAUGGCCCACCAAGACGAUGAUCGGUAUCC
rnacentral:rRNA from 1 species